CAACUCUGAGGGAAGUGACCAGAAAGCGUAAUGGUAGCAUCAGCCACCACACGGGCCAACGUCCCAGCCUCUGUCGAAAGCAAUCCUCCGUUUGUGACAGAUGCCUCUUGGAUUUAUUACCUUCAAGAACUUCUGCAGAUACAAACGUCACAAAUGCUGAGCCAAUGUACUGAAUAACCGUGUAAGGGACAAAGACGUUGAAGCUGAAAAGGAUCCCAAUGCAUAGCAUGAUUUCUGAGGCUACCACUACCUGCCUGAAAGUAAGAAUAAAACCAUCUUCAUUAACCUAAAUUUGGUGAAUCAGAUUGAUAGAAUCAGGAGCUGUUGCCAUUAUUUGUACAACUUUCAGGAAAUUUCCUAUCCAGUCGAGUGCUUUUUACCUUUC